UACGGAGGGUGCAAGCGUUAUCCGGAUUCACUGGGUUUAAAGGGUGCGUAGGUGGUCAGGUAAGUCAGUGGUGAAAUCUCCGGGCUUAACCCGGAAACUGCCAUUGAUACUAUCAGUCUUGAAUACCGUGGAGGUAAGCGGAAUAUGUCAUGUAGCGGUGAAAUGCUUAGAUAUGACAUAGAACACCAAUUGCGAAGGCAGCUCAUUACACGAAUAUUGACACUGAGGCACGAAAGCGUGGGGAUCAAACAGG
rnacentral:rRNA from 1 species